AUCCAUUUUUAGCUCACCUGUCCCGAAGGGACAAGUGAGCUUAUGCCAUCACUUGGCGUCCGUCGUCGUCCGUCGUCUGUCGUCGUAAACUAUUUCAAGAAUCUUCUCCUCUGAAACUACUGGGCCAAAUACUUUCAAACUUUAACUGAAUGUUCCUUAGGGUAUCUAAUUUAUAAAUUGUAUCCGAAGUUUUGAUCUAUCAACAAACAUGGUCGCCAUUGCUAAAAAUAGAACAUAGGGGGCAAAUGCAGUUUUUGGUUUAUAACUCAAAAACCAAAGCAUUUAGAGCAAAUCUGACAUGGGGUAAUAUUGUUUAUCAGGUUAAGAUCUAUCUGCCCUGAAAUUUUCAGAUGAAUCAGACAACCUGUUGUUGGGUUGCUGCCCCUGAAUUGGUAAUUUUAAGGAAAUUUUG
rnacentral:lncRNA from 1 species